UGCCGCUGUGGCGGAAUUGGCAGACGCGCUGGACUCAAAAUCCAGUUCCCUUUACCGGGAGUGUGGGUUCGACCCCCACCGGCGGCAU
rnacentral:tRNA from 5 species